rnacentral:rRNA from 1 species
AUUGAACGCUGGCGGCGUGCCUAACACAUGCAAGUCGAGCGGUAACAGGUGUAGCAAUACAUGCUGACGAGCGGCGGACGGGUGAGUAACGCUUGGGAAUCUGCCUGUUAGGUGGGGGACAACCCGGGGAAACUCGGGCUAAUACCGCAUACGCACUACGGUGGAAAGGCCCGGGGACCGCAAGGCCUGGCGCUAACAGAUGAGCCCAAGUCGGAUUAGCUAGUUGGUAGGUACGCCACCAGGCGACGAUCCGUAACUGGUCUGAGAGGACGACCAGUCACACCGGAACUGAGACACGGUCCGGACUCCUACGGGAGGCAGCAGGUGGGGAAUAUUGGACAAUGGGCGAAAGCCUGAUCCAGCGACGCCGCGUGGGUGAAGAAGGCCUGCGGGUU